GUCCUCUUGUCCGAGUGGUUAAAGGGUUAGAUUUGAAAUCUAAUAGGCUCUGCCCGCAUAGGCUCAAAUCCUGCAGGGGCCG
rnacentral:tRNA from 1 species